GGGGGGAAAGGGAAGUGGGGGCUAUUGUUGAUUUGUCUUUUGUUGUUUUGAUUUUCCUACGCGUACUUGUCUAUUAUGUUUUUCAACAUUUAUGAAGUACUAUUAAACUACUUUUGGUAUUAAUUGAAGUAUUUUUGAUAUAUAAGUAUUUACAAGGUAUAAAAUUAGUUCAAAAGUAUUUUUUUUAUGAAAAUUGACGCAUCGGGUUCGUGAUGCGAGCGCAUCACACAUCGGCUCCCGGGACACUAAACGCAUCAGAGCGCAUCUCGUAUUUUAAAACCAAGAUGGUAGCAAAUAUGAGGGAAAAAUAUCACAAGUAUUGGGGAGAUGUGAAAAAUCUUAAAUCACUCUUAUUUAUUUUUAUGAUUUUAGAUCCUAGACAUAAGAUGUAUUAUGUAAUCUUUGUGAUUGAAGAAGUUUAUAAUGCUAAGAAAGCUGAGCAGUUGACUGAAAUUGUAAAACAAACUUUAAAUGAGUUGUUUGAUCAUUAUAGUUUGUUGAGUGGUAUAUCCCAAAGUGAAACAAGUGUAAGUUCUCAACCUAAUCUCUUUAGGGCUGAGAAUGAUGAGCAUCUUGAUUUAUUUGCUUAUUCCAAGACCAAAUAUAAAAGGAAGAGGGCUGGAAGUGUGUUUAGUGAAGGAAAAUCUAAGCUUGAAAAAGUAUUUGGAGGACAAAGGUGAACCCGAUGAUAAGAAGUUUCAUUUGCUUGAUUGGUGGAAGAACAAAAGCAAGACCUAUCCUAUAAUUUCUUUAAUGGUUCGAGAUAUUUUUGCAAUUCCUGUGUCUACAAUGGUUUUAGAAUCUGCUUUCAACACUGGAGGUCAUGUUCUUGAUCCAUUUCGGAGUUCCUUAACCCAAAAAUUAUUGAGUGCCUCAUUUGUGCACAAAACUGGUUGAGAUCAUCACUCGUAGCAAUCCAAAAAGAGGAACAAAUUGAAGAAAUGGAGAACAUUGAGAGUGGUUUCGAAGAUUUGAAGUUAAAUGAAACAAUGAUGACUAUUGAUGAUUGAUUGAAGAUGGAACACUCACAAGGGUGUAUUCAUGAUGCCUACUGUUGGAGAAGAUUCCUUUUUGUUUGAGAGUUGAAAUAUAGAUGAAAUUUUGUUGUUCUAUAC